ACUUGAAUAGCUUAUUUUAGAGCGCGACAUUGAAGAUGUCGAUGAGGUAUUGUGUUAUCUUUGAGUG
rnacentral:tRNA from 1 species